UCUACAAGAAAUGUAAAUAACACAAGGUGUAUCGUGGUUCACCCCAAGGUUUGGGCUACGUCCACACUGAUUGUAUUGUAUUUCUCUAAGAAGUGAGGGAGAGAUAGCUCUGAGAGUGAGAGCUUUGCUCUAGAUAUGAGAGGCCUCGAGUUUGUGAGGGUGAGGAGACCAUUUUAUAGAAUAAGGGCUCCUCCCCUUUUUACAUAUUUGCCCAUUUCUUUAUUACAUAAUUACAUUUAAGUCCCCCGAGUAUUUAUACGAGGUCUCAAUACGAGGCCCUAAAUAUGGUAUAAACAGUAGUCCCCUAAGUCUUCAGUCAAGAGAGUCUUUUGGCUAGAGACUUGAAAUUCAAUCCGUGUGUGGGCCGAAGUAACUAGAUGAUGUCUUGAACUGGUGUUCGAUAUGAGGCAGUGCUCAAUCUGAAAUGACGCUCAACUAGAAGUAGCACACGCUGCGAGGUUGCUCCGCUCAUGGCUUAUGUUGCCUUGGUUGGCUCAGCUUGCGGCGUUUGAAGGUGAGGGAGUCCCUUUUAUAGAAUAAGGGCUCGCUCCUUAAUACAUGAAUGAUAGGUUAGAGUUAAUGCUCUCUAAUGAUGGUGAGGGAGUCCCUUUUAUAGAAUAAAGGCUCGUUCCUCAAUACAUGAAUGAUGGGCUAGAGUUGAUGCUCUCUAAUGAUGGUGAGGGAGUCCCUAAAAUAAGGGCUCGUUCCUCAAUACAUGAAUGAUGGGCUAGAGUCCCCCAAGUAUUUUUCAUGAGGCCCAGUUGAGGCCCAAUAUAUGGUACAUAAUGUAGUCCCCCAAGUCUUCGGUCAAUAGAGUCUGUUGGUUGGAGACUUCAAAUUGAAUCCAUGUAUGGGCCGAAGUGGCGGUUGUUCGAAGGCGGUAUUUGUAUACCCUGCACUGAAGCUUUGUAGGUGAAGCUUUUGUAAGUGAAGCUUUGAAGCUAGAGCUCUGUAAAUGAAACUUUCGAAGAUGGAGCUUUUGUAAAUGAAGCUUUUGAAGCUAGAGUUCUGUAAAUGAAGCUUUUGAAGCUGAUUGACAUGAGUGAUGCUCAUGAAUGUUUAUGUUGAUUGACAUGAGUGAUGCUUAUGGAUGUUGUCAUGAGUGAUGCUCAUGAAUGUUGUCAUGAGUGAUGCUCAUGAAUGUUGACAUGAAUGAUGGUCAUGAAUGUUUAUGUAUAAUUGUCAUGAGUGAUGCUCAUGAAUGUUUAUGUAUGAACGACAUGAGUAAUGCUCAUGCUCAUGAAGAUGAGUUCUUUCUUCGCCUGGUUGGUAGUAUGAGUGGCAAAUUGCCAAAUGAUUUUAGAGUACAGAUUGUACAUUUCAUCACCGCGUUUGUGACAUGAAUGGUGAUUUUAGAGUACGGGUUGUACAUUUCAUCACCUAGUUGGUGGCAUGAAUGGCUAGUUGCCAAAAUGAUAUCAAAGUACGGGUUGUACAUUUCAUCACCUGGUUGGUGGUAACAGCGGCAGGUUGCCGAAUAAUUUUUGGAGUACUGGGCGUACUUUUGAUCACCUGGUUGGUGGUAAUAGCGGCGGGUUGCCGAAUAAUUGUGGAGUACUGGCGUACUUUUGAUGACCUAGUUGGUAGUAAUAGCGGCAGGUUGCCGAAUAGUUGCAGAGUACUAGGCGUACUUUUGAUGACCUGGUUGGUGCUAUUUUAGGCUUAUGCGCCUUUGCUCUCCACACAACAUUCCAGCCUAUUUAUUUUGGGCUUUGCCGAUUUUUUUUUUACCACCCUCUGAUGGGGUUUAUACAUAUUACCCUCUGACGGAAUUUAUACAAAUGUCUCCAAAAGAUACGGAAAAUAAAUUACACCGUACAAAAACAAGAAAAGUAAAUCACAUAAUUCUGGUGGGGUGUUUAUUCCUUGCUUUUACUUUCUCUUUUCUUUUCUGCUUUGUUUUUUUUUUUUUUUGCUUUUGUUUCUGUUUCCCACUGCGUUUCUUUGCUCAAGUAGACAUAUCCUCUGGGCCUUCAGAAAGUGAUUUCACAUGGCUACCACCCUGUAAAGAAGAUGCAGGGGAUGGGUCACUGAGCUCUUUGAAUUAUUGCUUGUCCUGCUUCACAUGGUGAAACUGAGUGGAGUGACAAUUUUACUUUUCACCAUACCUAUCAGGCCAGUAUCAUUUUGCCAGCCCAUUCUUCAAAUAGAGCUCUGAAAAGCGUCUUGACAUCACUUGGAUCAAACUGCCCAUGCUUGUCAGGACUCGAGGAGGAUGAUGAUCAAGUAGGAUAGAGAUUCCCAUUGACUAAAUCAAUUUUAGAGGAAAAUCAACCUGAGAUAUCUUGUUGAACUAGUGGAUUCAGAUCUGGCAGCAGAAGAAUCAUUAAGCAGAGGGUCCUGAGAGUCCGACGGUGUAGAAAGUUGUGGGAUGGAGUGUUGCAAUCGGCGACGAAGCAAGAUGGGCUGCAGUCGGCUUUCUAAUGAAAAUCUUCUGGGCCCCACACCAAUGACCGCAUCAAGCUCAACGUCGACGCCAAGUACUUCUCGUAUCUCUUCCAUGGCUCGUUGAUUCUCCAAGCAGGAGCUUAGCCGAUAAAGCCCUCUAUUAUGGCAUCGAGUCGCAGCUCGAGUCAUGAAUCAUUACUUACGUGACCCAUUUGACUUAGGAUGCCGUUUUCCAACUCGGCCCCGGAUUGCAGGUAAGGCAUGGGCAGUUAUCCGAAGGCUCUAUGGCUGGCUACGAAUGCUACGGCAGUUGUGGGUUUGGGGUUGCGCCAUUGGGCAGCAUAAAUAGGACAGAAAAAGUUGAAAAUUCGAGGGAGACCACCGAAUUUGAAUCACGCGGAAGGGAAAGAAAUUUUGAGAUGGCAAAAAAAAGGAAGAAUAUAGAUAUUCUUUUUAUUUGUGAUCUGCUGUUGGAAUCCAUAGCAAAAUGGAGAAUCGAGACCAUAGAAUUCGAACCCUCGUUUAAAUUUUGUGAUCUGCUGCUCUGAUGAUUGCAGUUUCUCAACUGCUUCUCAUAGAUGUUUUCAAUGAAAAUCUUGUUCUGGGUUCGGGUUGGUUGACCGGAUUUUCUCGUGGGUUGCCUGGAAGUCAUAUGGGGUUUGGGAUCCGGAUCCAUGGCAGAGACGAGCUGGCCACCGAGCCGCGCACCGCCACUGGGGCUGACGGAUUGCUCUGUUAUGGCGACUUGAACGUCGGGGUUCUUGUUGAGCUCAUAGGUGUAGGAGAGCCUAGCGAAGCCAGCAUCGACUACGACGACACCGGUGUCAGCGUAGGUGAUCAUGUCAGUCGUGUAGCGCCUGGUCAUUUCCCUGGAAACAAUGGAUUCCUUGAUGGGGUCGAACUUGAAGGCACUUAAGUCGUACGAGGGGUUCAAGCCGUUGGCAAACAUAGAGACGGAGAGGCCUCUGUUGCUGGCAGGAGCCAUCUUGGCCGGCUGACGGCGGACUAAGGGAGUGCCAUGGAAAGGGAGUCGAGGAGGGAGGGCUUCUAAAGCUUGGUGGUGAAGCUGGAGUUGCAGCACUUGGCGCAGAGAAAUGCAAAGUUUCAAUCUCUGUAAAAUCUCCGCUCUCGAGAUUUGGAUUCAAAUAGUUCAACUACCCCCGUCUGCAGCUUUUCCUGCAUCUGUUCAGACCCACUUUCCAUCUCCAUGCUUUUCAAAGUACUGCCUAUCAUCAGUCAGAGUGGCCGUGGUGGCUUUUGUGUUUGUGGGGGUUUUUUGGGUUUUUGCAGAUUCACAGUGGAUAUUGUGGUGAGAUGAAAAAAUGAAAGAGAACCGACAUAGCUUUUCGUGUCGAUUCCCACAGACGGCGCCAAAUGUUGAUGCACAAAACCGGAGGUCUUGGAACAACGUAAAUCCAACCAUGAAUCUGCAAGAAAUGUAAAUAACACAAGGUGUAUCGUGGUUCACACCAAGGUUUGGGCUACGUCCACACUGAUUGUAUUGUAUUUCUCUGAGAAGUGAGGGAGAGAGAGCUUUGAGAGUGAGAGCUUUGCUCUAGAUAGGAGAGGCCUCGAGUUUGUGAGGGUGAGGAGGCCCUUUUAUAGAAUAAGGGCUUCUCCCCUUUUUACAUAUUUACCCCUUCCUUUAUUACAUAAUUACAUUUAAGUCCCCCGAGUAUUUAUAUGAGGUCUAAAUAUGAGGCCCUAAAUAUGGUAUAAACAUGCACAUAUUACAAAUAAGAACAGAGACAAUGGAUCCCCUUGCUGAAUCCCUCGUUUAGGGUGUACGAGGCCCACUGGAUCCCUAUUAAGCUUGAAAGAAUAAGACAUAGAAGCAACACACAUCAUAAUCCAAUUAAUCAAUUCCUCAGCAAACCCCAAACGUUUCAUCAUUUGCUCAAGGAAAGACCAUUCAAUGUGAUCAUAUG
rnacentral:lncRNA from 1 species